GUACUAAUACUUUUUCCAUUCUUACUGGAAAGAAGGUAUAUAUCUACAGUCGCCAUGAAGAGUCAAGACCCUUAUAUGAUUUUUAAUGCAAAAGCUACAUUCAAAAGUGCUCUUGAGAAUUUUAUAAAUAAUAACUAGGUGGAAGCCCCUUUAUAAAAUAGCGUACUUAAGACCAAAAUAAUGGUAGGUAAAAAUCUAUUAGGAUUCGUUUUUCACCAAAUUAAUGAAUACAUGUUCAUGUCUCUAUAUAUAUUCUUUAUAUUAAAUUAUACGUAAAUUAAUAUGCAUUUUUAUCUUAAUUUAUGAUUUAAUUGUGAUAAAUUAAUAUGUUGGUGUAAAAAUCGAAUGCAUAUACAUUUUUAUUAUAGAACUAGCAUAGAUUGAAGGCGUCCAUUAAUGUCGAAAAGAUUGGGUUAGUAAAGUGAAGGCCAAAGUUUUCGAGGGGUUUACGGAUAUGGACCACAUUGGAUCAAGAGAGAAAACUCAAAACUAAAAUAAGCACCAAUUUAUUAAUAAGAACACAUAAAACUGAUCGAGAGAAGAAGAGGGGCAUCGUGGUCAUUCCAUUUAAACUAAAUUUUGAUUACUAAAUCUUUUCUUAUUUAAAUGCAAGAUGUCCUAAGUUACUGAACCUUAAUUAACAGUUUACCUUGUAUAAUUCUUUAUAUAUAAAUUUAAAAGGAUGUGCAUGGGCAAGAUCAAAUUUAGAAGA